ACGGGGUGCAGCAGGCGCGAAACUUCACAUGGCGAAAGCCCGAUGAGGGAAUUCCUAGUGCUAGCACAUUUGUGCUAGCUUUUCCUUAGCGUAGAUAACUAGGGGAAUAAGGGCUGGGUAAGACGGGUGCCAGCCGCCGCGGUAAUACCCGCAGCCCGAGUGGUGGUCGAUUUUAUUGAGUCUAAAACGUUCGUAGCCGGUCUGAUAAAUCCCCUGGGUAAAUCGGGUGGCUUAACCAUCCGAAUUCCGGGGAGACUGUCAGGCUUGGGAUCGGGAGAGGUAUGAGGUACUUCAGGGGCAGGGGUAAAAUCCUGUAAUCCUUGGAGGACCACCGGUGGCGAAGGCGUCAUACUAGAACGAAUCCGACGGUGAGGGACGAAGCCCUAGGUCGCAAACGGGAUUAGAUACCCUGGUAGUCCAGGGUGUAAACGCUGCAGACUUGGUGUUGGGGGCCCUACGGGGGCGUUCAGUGCCGGAGAGAAGUUGUUAAGUCUGCUACUUGGGGAGUACGUCCGCAAGGAUGAAACUUAAAGGAAUUGCGGGGGAGCAC
rnacentral:rRNA from 1 species